GACGAACGCUGGCGGCGUGCUUAACACAUGCAAGUCGAGCGGUAAGGCCCUUUCGGGGGUACACGAGCGGCGAACGGGUGAGUAACACGUGGGUGACCUGCCCUCAGCUCUGGGAUAAGCCCGGGAAACUGGGUCUAAUACCGGAUAUGACUCCAUGACGCAUGUUGUGGGGUGGAAAGCCUUGUGCGGCUGAGGAUGGGCCCGCGGCCUAUCAGCUUGUUGGUGGGGUGAUGGCCACCAAGGCGACGACGGGUAGCCGGCCUGAGAGGGCGACCGGCCACACUGGGGACUGAGAUACGGCCCAGACUCCUACGGGAGGCAGCAGUGGGGAAUCUUGCGCAAUGGGCGAAAGCCUGACGCAGCGACGCCGCGUGAGGGAUGACGGCCU
rnacentral:rRNA from 1 species